rnacentral:rRNA from 1 species
UGCGUAGGCGGGAAAGAAAGUCAGAUGUGAAAUCCCAGGGCUCAACCCUGGAACUGCAUUUGAAACUUCUUUUCUUGAGGAUAGGCGGAGAAAACGGAAUUCCACGUGUAGCGGUGAAAUGCGUAGAUAUGUGGAAGAACACCAGUGGCGAAGGCGGUUUUCUAGCUUAUUCCUGACGCUAAAGCGCGAAAGCAAGGGGAGCGAACAGGAUUAGAUACCCUGGUAGUCC